GAUGAACGCUAGCUACAGGCUUAACACAUGCAAGUCGAGGGGCAGCAUGAUUGAAGCUUGCUUCAAUCGAUGGCGACCGGCGCACGGGUGAGUAACACGUAUCCAACCUGCCGAUAACUCGGGGAUAGCCUUUCGAAAGAAAGAUUAAUACCCGAUAGUAUAGUAUUUCCGCACGGUUUCACUAUUAAAGAACUUCGGUUAUCGAUGGGGAUGCGUUCCAUUAGAUAGUUGGCGGGGUAACGGCCCACCAAGUCAACGAGGGAUAGGGGUUAUGAGAGGAAGCUCCCCCACAUUGGAACUGAGACCCGGUCCACUCCCCUACGGAAGGGAGCAGUAAGUAAUAUUAGUCAAUGAACGAGGGUCUGACCCAGCCACGUAGCGUGAAGAAGGACUGCCCUAUGGGUUGUAAACUUCUUUUAUACGGGAAUAAAGUGGAGUAUGCAUACUCCUUUGUAUGUACCGUAUGAAUAAGGAUCGGCUAACUCCGUG
rnacentral:rRNA from 1 species